CUUUGCCUACGGGGCGCAGCAGUGGGGAAUAUUGCACAAUGGGGGAAACCCUGAUGCAGCGACGCCGCGUGAGUGAAGAAGUAUUUCGGUAUGUAGAGCUCUAUCAGCAGGGAAGAUAAUGACGGUACCUGACUAAGAAGCCCCGGCUAACUACGUGCCAGCAGCCGCGGUAAUACGUAGGGGGCAAGCGUUAUCCGGAUUUACUGGGUGUAAAGGGUGCGUAGGUGGCAUGGCAAGUCAGAAGUGAAAGCCCGGGGCUCAACCCCGCGGACUGCUUUUGAAACUGUCAGGCUGGAGUACAGGAG
rnacentral:rRNA from 1 species